UAUCUCUAAAAUUGGAUAGAAAAAUAGUUAAAAGUGCGGAUUAAUUCUUUUUAUUGUGAUUAUUGCUUGUUUAUCUUGGUGUUUCGUGUUGGAUUUUGUGGCGAUUUUCAAAUGUUUUUUGUUAGCCAUAUUGGAGUUUGAUGAACUGCGGAUUUACUAAUUCGGAAAAUUACUUAGAAAUGGUAAAUAAACGCUUGAAAAUGUGGGUAGAAAUUGGAUAAUAAUAAAAGCAGAUUAGAAGAAGAAGAAAGAAGAGAAGUGCUAAUAUAUAAGUUUUAGGAACUGGUCAACGUAAGAGUGAGGUCUCUUUUUUCUUGUGUGUUUGUUCGCUAUAAAAAAGAAGAAAGAAAAAUUUAUCAAUCAAGAAAACAUAAUUGAUUCUUUAAAAUGGUAAGAUGAAUUUUAAAUGAUUUUUGUUACGCACAGGGUGACUCUUAAAAAAUCACAGAUAACUCAAACACAACAAAAAAUACAAAAAAAAUCAACCCUGUUAAUAAAUUAAUAUAAAACAAAUUAUGGCACAAAACAAACGAAAAAAAAGAUACCCAAAUAAAAAUAAUAGUUAAGAAAAUAAAGAAGGAAAAUGAAAAGAUUAAUAAAGAUCUAGAUAGAAGCCAAACACGCAAACAACAUCAAAAGACUAUUUCAAAUAAACUAC